CCUACGGGGGGCUGCAGUGAGGAAUAUUGGUCAAUGGCCGGAAGGCUGAACCAGCCAUGCCGCGUGAAGGUCAGUGCCCUUUGGGUGUUAAACUUCUUUUGUGCGGGAGCAAUAAUGGUCACGUGUGGCCAGACGAGAGUACCGUACGAAUAAGCAUCGGCUAACUCCGUGUCAGCAGCCGCGGUAAUCCGGGGGAUGCAAGCGUUAUCCGGAUUUAUUGGGUUGAAAGGGUGCGUAGGCUGUGAGGUAAGUCAGUGGUGAAAUGCCCCCGGUCAACGGGGUGAAGUGCCAUUGAUACUGCCAUGCUGGAAUGCGGGUGCGGUGGGAGGAAUGUGUGGUGUAGCGGUGAAAUGCAUAGAGAUCA
rnacentral:rRNA from 1 species